rnacentral:tRNA from 1 species
UGGCCCACUUGGUAGAGCAUGGCACUUACAAUGCCAGGGUUGUGGGUUUGAUUCCCAU